rnacentral:pre_miRNA from 1 species
GUAGUAUUCCCUCCGUCCCAAAAUUCUUGUCUUACAUUUGUUUAGAUAUGGAUGUAUCUAACACUAAAAUGUAACUAGAUACAUCCAUAUUUAGACAAAUUUAAGGCAAGAAUUUUGGGACGGAGGGAGUACAAA